GAUGAGAACGUAGCGAAAUGCGAUACGUAAUGUGAAUUGCAGAUUUCAGUGAAUCAUCGAAUCUUUGAACGCACAUUGCGCCCGCUAGUAUUCUGGCGGGCAUGCCUGUUCGAGCGUCAUUUCAACCAUCAAGCCCUAGGCUUGCGUUGGAGCCCUGCGGCUGCCGCAGGCUCCCAAAUCCAGUGGCGGGCUCGUCGUCGUACCGAGUGCAGUAAACAUCCUCGCUCAGGGAACGUGACGGGUUCUUGCCGUGAAACCCCCCACAUAUCAAGGUUGACCUCGGAUCAGGUAGGAAUACCCGCUGAACUUAAGCAUAUCAAUAAGCGGAGGA
rnacentral:misc_RNA from 1 species